rnacentral:rRNA from 1 species
CCUACGGGGUGCAGCAGUGAGGAAUAUUGGUCAAUGGGCGCGAGCCUGAACCAGCCAAGUAGCGUGAAGGAUGACUGCCCUACGGGUUGUAAACUUCUUUUAUAUAGGAAUAAAGUGCAGUACGUAUGCCUCUUUGCAUGUACUUUAUGAAUAAGGAUCGGCUAACUCCGUGCCAGCAGCCGCGGUAAUACGGAGGAUCCGAGCGUUAUCCGGAUUUAUUGGGUUUAAAGGGAGCGUAGAUGGGUUGUUAAGUCAGUUGUGAAAGUUUGCGGCUCAACCGUAAAAUUGCAAUUGAUACUGGCAGACUUGAGUACAGUUGAGGUAGGCGGAAUUCGUGGUGUAGCGGUGAAAUGCUUAGAUAUCACGAAGAACUCCGAUUGCGAAGGCAGCUUACUAGACUGCCACUGACAUUGAUGCUCGAAAGUGUGGGUAUCAAACAGGAUUAGAUACCCGAGUAGUC